rnacentral:lncRNA from 1 species
CGCAUAAUGAAGGUGGAUUCCCAUGGUGUGUAUCAACAAUUUAUAAAGAAAUCUUCUACAAGAUUGGAAUCAAAGGACUUCAUCCAAGGUUACUGAUACAGCCAUCCUUUCAGAUGGCAAUGCAUUCUGCUGAUGCUUGCUGUCAGCCGGGGCUCCAUAUUACUCCUUCUCAGGGGGGUGUUGAUUGGUCCAACGCAAAGCUUCCUUGGAAUCCCUUAUCUAAUGCUUUGUAACAGGACAGCCUGGUGUGGGUUGCUGUCCACAGGUGUUCUGUGAGGUAUUAGAACUUACAGAGGGAAGCCAGUGUGCUUCCAACUGAGUCAAACCCUUCAGUCAAUCCACCUGAAAGCUUAAUUGUAUAUUUUAAGGUAAACUGGAUUUAAAUACCUGUUAACAGCUCAGUAUUCAGUACCCUAAAAUAGGAAGAUGGUGUGAUUUGAGUUCUGAGGUUUCAAGUAUGAUUCUCUGAUAUCUUAUGACUAAAUUGACAUCCUUUAGUACAUUCCUUUUCUCUUUCAGCUAGCUAAUGUGGAUCCUGUCCUCUGCAACUAAGAACCCCAAAUGAUUCUGAGAUAUCAAUAUCAAUUGAGAGGAAGAAGAUUCAUGUUGGACAUUAAGGGCACAUCCAUCUGCCACUGCAAAAUACCUCUAACCACCAGUAAGAAACUCACUGGUGUGCAGACUUCUGCCUUCUCCCAAUUCCACUUGAGAAAUGAGAAUGGAUGCUAAAAGUCGAAAGGUCAACGUAUCUCUUUGCUCCAUAGCUAGAGAGAAAGCAACAUGCCACAAAUAAGGAAUUGUUCAGAACAAAUCUUUUUUAUUUUCACACAACUGGAAGAUUCAUUAUGUUAUUUGGGAGUGUGGAGAUCAGUGAGCUGGGCAGAGACAUUUUGAAUAGAAGCAAUGUAUUGGUGUUUCUGUUUCAGUUCGCAGCAUUUGUACGUCCCUUGCAACCAUUUCUGUGUGAAGAAAAAUAAUUGAUUUUGUAGAAAUACUAUGUGCAAGAUUCUUUUAUUUACCUCAAAUACAUGUUUACUAUGUCAGGAGAGGCUUCUUUCUUACAGAUGAUUCUUUUGAAACUUGGUGACCCCACUGUGAAACCUUGCCCCACCAGCAGUUUCAUCAUCAACAAGCUGGGUUUUCCUGCAGGUUUUAUCUAUCUGUUUAUCUUUAGCUGUCUAUCUUGAAGAAUAUUCUUUAUAAAACAAAUUUAGAGAAGGAUUAAAGGAAGACCUUUAAUUAUAAGGGACUUUUUUAGAAACCCUCUGGACUUAUCCAUCUUUGUUUAUUCCAAUUCUAUUUUCC